ensembl:Y_RNA Y_RNA Y RNA
GGCGGGUCCGAGGGUAGUGAGCUACAUCAGUUGUUCGCUCAUAGCUAUGGAUGGAACCGGUUUCUACUUCCCUGCUUCUCACCAUUGCAUUUGACUAGUCUAAA